UACGAAGGGGGCUAGCGUUGCUCGGAAUCACUGGGCGUAAAGCGCACGUAGGCGGGUCGUUAAGUCAGGGGUGAAAUCCUGGAGCUCAACUCCAGAACUGCCUUUGAUACUGGCGAUCUCGAGUCCGGGAGAGGUGAGUGGAACUGCGAGUGUAGAGGUGAAAUUCGUAGAUAUUCGCAAGAACACCAGUGGCGAAGGCGGCUCACUGGCCCGGUACUGACGCUGAGGUGCGAAAGCGUGUGGAGCAAACAGG
rnacentral:rRNA from 1 species